AUUAAUUAAUCUUAUUUUUAGUUAAUGGGACUUUAAAAAUGUGUGUUUCAGAACAAAAUUUCCCUCUCUAUUUUAGUGUUUCUUCUGUGUGUGUUUAUUUUUUUAUUUUAGUAAGAGACUGAAAUCUUUUGAAGAAAAAUUAAUAUUGUAAACUAGGUAUACAGUCUGCAUGUAUCAAAAACUAUCAUAUGACAUAAUAUAUCGUUAAUUAAUAAACUACAAAACAAAUAAUUAAGUUGAUUUUGCGAUUAUUUAUUGUUCUUUUAUAAUCGCAAGUUUGAGUCGACA
rnacentral:lncRNA from 1 species